AUUGAACGCUGGCGGCAUGCUUUACACAUGCAAGUCGAACGGUAACAGGCCGCAAGGUGCUGACGAGUGGCGAACGGGUGAGUAAUGCAUCGGAACGUGCCCAGUCGUGGGGGAUAACGCAGCGAAAGCUGCGCUAAUACCGCAUACGAUCUAUGGAUGAAAGCGGGGGGCCGUAAGGCCUCGCGCGAUUGGAGCGGCCGAUGUCAGAUUAGGUAGUUGGUGGGGUAAAGGCCUACCAAGCCAACGAUCUGUAGCUGGUCUGAGAGGACGACCAGCCACACUGGGACUGAGACACGGCCCAGACUCCUACGGGAGGCAGCAGUGGGGAAUUUUGGACAAUGGGCGCAAGCCUGAUCCAGCAAUGCCGCGUGCAGGAAGAAGGCCUUCGGGUUGUAAACUGCUUUUGUACGGAACGAAACGGUCCGGGUUAAUACCCUGGGCUAAUGACGGUACCGUAAGAAUAAGCACCGGCUAACUACGUGCCAGCAGCCGCCGCCGUAA
rnacentral:rRNA from 1 species